rnacentral:rRNA from 1 species
ACGAACGCUGGCGGCGUGCCUAAUACAUGCAAGUCGAGCGGACCGAACAGGAGCUUGCUCUUGUUCGGUUAGCGGCGGACGGGUGAGUAACACGUGGGUAACCUGCCCGUAAGACCGGGAUAACUCCGGGAAACCGGAGCUAAUACCGGAUAACACCGAAGACCGCAUGGUCUUUGGUUGAAAGGCGGCUUCGGCUGCCACUUACGGAUGGGCCCGCGGCGCAUUAGCUAGUUGGUGAGGUAACGGCUCACCAAGGCGACGAUGCGUAGCCGGCCUGAGAGGGUGACCGGCCACACUGGGACUGAGACACGGCCCAGACUCCUACGGGAGGCAGCAGUAGGGAAUCUUCCGCAAUGGACGAAAGUCUGACGGAGCGACGCCGCGUGAGCGAAGAAGGUCUUCGGAUCGUAAAGCUCUGUUGUUAGGGAAGAAGAAGCGUCGUUCGAACAGGGCGGCGCGGUGACGGUACCUAACGAGAAAGCCCCGGCUAACUACGUG